rnacentral:rRNA from 1 species
AUUGAACGCUGGCGGCAGGCCUAACACAUGCAAGUCGAGCGGAUGAGAGGAGCUUGCUCUUCGACUCAGCGGCGGACGGGUGAGUAAUGCCUAGGAAUCUGCCCAGUAGUGGGGGACAACGUUUCGAAAGGAACGCUAAUACCGCAUACGUCCUACGGGAGAAAGUGGGGGAUCUUCGGACCUCACGCUAUUGGAUGAGCCUAGGUCGGAUUAGCUAGUUGGUAGGGUAAAGGCCUACCAAGGCGACGAUCCGUAACUGGUCUGAGAGGAUGAUCAGUCACACUGGAACUGAGACACGGUCCAGACUCCUACGGGAGGCAGCAGUGGGGAAUAUUGGACAAUGGGCGCAAGCCUGAUCCAGCCAUGCCGCGUGUGUGAAGAAGGCCCUCGGGUCGUAAAGCACUUUAAGUUGGGAGGAAGGGCUUACAGCGAAUACCUGUGAGUUUUGACGUUACCGACAGAAUAAGCACCGGCUAACUUCGUGCCAGCAGCCGCAGUAA